AUUGAACGCUGGCGGCAGGCCUAACACAUGCAAGUCGAACGAGUGGCGGACGGGCGAGUAAUGUCUGGGAAACUGCCUGACGGAGGGGGAUAACUACUGGAAACGGUAGCAAAUACCGCAUACGAUCAGAUCUGCCCAGAGGGGAUUAGCUUGUUGGUGGGGUAACGGCUCACAAAGGGGCCGCGCCCUAGCUGGUCGGAGAGGAUGACCAGCCACACUGGAACUGAGACACGGCCCAGACUCCUACGGGAGGCAGCAGUAGGGAAUAUUGCGCAAUGGGCGAAAGCCUGAUGCAGCCAUGCCGCGUGUAUGAAGAAGGCCUUCGGGUUGUAAAGUUCUUUCGGUGGGGAAGCGUUACCCGCCGAAAAAGCAACGGCUAACUACGUGCCAGCAGCCGCGGUAAUUC
rnacentral:rRNA from 1 species